UGUUGUUUUAGCUUCAGGAUCUUUCUGACCUUGAAGAAAGGGAAAAUGAAGAUAUUGUGGCACCACAUCAGAAGCAAGGCCUGAAGUUCCGUGCUUUAGAGGUGGUGUUGCCGUCCUGUGAGGGCAGGAGUCCUGGAGCUGGCAUGGCUGAGGAACCCUUGCACAAGCUGGAGGAAGGGCCAUUAUCAUUCCUUAUGAAAAGGAAGAUAACCCAGAAGCUUGCCAUUCAAAAGUCUUAUGACAGAUGCAUUCCAGAAACUGCUAGUUGUGGUUUUAGGUAAGACUUUUUUUUUUUUUUUUUUUUUUUGAGGAGGG